UUUUUUGUUGCUGCUCUUACAGAAUCAUAGAGGCAUUAAAUGGAACUGAUUAUGGAGUUGAUAUAUAAAAUAAAAUAGUUUACUUAGGAAAGAAAAGCAUCUCAGUAUCUUAAUAAACAUGGCCAGACUGAAGGAAGGAAUUCUAUAUCUCUAACUAAUACCUAUACCUUGAGGAAGGCAAAAGAUUUGUAUUUACACAAAGGUAAAAAGAAAGUGGCAACCAUCUACCACUAAUACUUAACAAUAAGGUUUAGUCUAUGAUAUGCAGGGUUUAACAGUUAAUCUAUUUAGUAAGCACAGGUAGACCAUAGUGCUUGAAGUAUGAAAUCUUAGAGCAGAAAUAGACAGCAUGGUAAAUCCUACAAAGAUAAAAAGAAAUUGCCUACUUCCUAAUUUCGAAGACAGUCCAUCCACUUUGUUUCUUACUUGGUGAGAAAAUGGUUGAAGGUCUCUACGAUAGUAAUUCAGCUAGCCCAGUAUUUUUAAUUCAUCUAUUUGUACAGUUAGAUGGAGAGAUUUGGAGCAUGGAGAUUGGAAAAUGCUGCCCUUUUGGAAAUAGCUUGAAUUCCUGAUAAGUGAAAUGCCAUGUGAUGCCACAGGAAGGCAAUGAAUUAGCACAGGGCUGUGGAAAGGUUCUCAGUUUGGGAGUUGGUUGGAGCUCUGCUUAAUCCUGCUCCCUGACCCUAGGAAUGAUCCCUGGGCAAGACAGUUAACCUGUCUUCAUUUCACUAUCUUCAUUUGAUAACGCAAACGAUACUACUUACCUUUCAGAGUACUUGUGAUGAUUAAAUAUAAACUUGGGUAAAACAUUUUUAGAAAUCUCAAUAAAACACUUUUAAAAUGCUGUUGAAUAAGUAGUACAUCUAUUUUUAAUAUGAUGAUGUAACUAUUAUUAAAAAUAAAAUCCAGUGUCUUUUGUGGUUUCCAACUGAAGGCAUCCCUGACAUUCCUCAGUCAUAUCCUUGGCACGUUUCUGUCAUUCAGCACUGUAAUUACUUUCAUGACAAAGGCAAUUCAGUUCCACAAACAUUUACCAGGUACCUGUUCUGCUUAAGACUAGAGAGAAGGUGAUGGAGAUACAAGAGCUAGAGGAAUGAGGCUCCUCCCUUAACAAAUGUAGAUUCUAUCCAUCACAUUCACAACCCGAUUACUUGACCCAAACAGUUCUGAUUAGCAAACACCAUAUGUCCAGCACUGUCCUCUAAGUUUAAUUUGCCUGAGGCAUUAUUCCUCUGAGUACCAUAGAUUUUUACUGCUGUCUUACAUUUAACUUGUCUUACUUUUGUGUGAAAUCAGAUGUGAGAACAGGAAGAACUGGGAAGAACUCUUGGCCCUUCAGUGGUCCAAAGUGGAAACAGUUAUAUUUUAUUAAAAAUGAAGGGGUUUAGCAAAGCAUUUUAAAAUAGAAAUGGUGUGGGAGCUCAGCAGGUCAUGAAAAUACCUUCAGAAGAAUUUGCUGAAGGACUCUCUUCAGGGGUAAAGAUCAAAGAUCAGCCAUUCACAGCAUAAAAGCAGCAGUGUUUUUCAUUUUAGCUUGUUCAGUAUCAUAAAUAAACAGAGAUAUUGUGUGCGUAGAUUGGUUGUGGCUCUCCAGAUUUGACAGGGAAGGAAACACAUAAUUUCAACAUGUGAAAGAAAUGUGAUGGGAAUAUAAGAAACUUUCAAAUCUAGGAGUGUAGGGAGUGGGUUUCCAUCUAGUAUAUAUGUGAAAUCUUCCAGGAUUCUGUGAAUUUAGUCUUUCUCUAUUGUGAUAUGUUUGAUUUAAAAGCAAUUCAAGUUCACCUAUUUGAAACAAAAUUUGCCAUCACUAUCUGUUUUUUCUUCCUCUGUCAGAAAAUAUUAAGAGAAUCAGCUUUUAAAAUGAAGUUAUAAAAUCACGAUUUUCAUACAUUCAUUUGAAUGCCCACACAAUACAACAUACAAUGAUAAUCUAACAUAAAUAUGUAAAGGCAAUUUAGGUCAGAAAAUAUUGAUUUUCUUUUGUAAAUCAGUAAGGAAGAAAAUACUAAAUAAGGUGUAUAAAAGCUUGGUACAGUUUCUGAGCUGUGCUAUAUAAAAUGUCGUGUUAAGUAAGGAAGUCUGGAUUCAACUAUUUUUAGAGCUCUAUGGACACAUAUCUGCUUGGGUAGUAUGAUAAUAAAUAAAUAGUGUUGAUAAAUGGACAGGUGGAAAGUUCAGAAGAUCUACCCACACUAUUUUGUGCAAAUAUUGAGUUCACUAGUGCUGUGCAGGAUUUUCUCUGAAAACGCUAUUUUGGAGAUAUUAAUUGGUAUUAAAUGCUUCUAAAGGUUCUCAUUGUUAAAUGAGUUUGAGUUAAACAGCUUUGCUCAAUGAAUUUAAUAUACAGUAAACCUUGUGAAUUUUCAAUAAGUAAAUGUAAUACCCAUUAUUUCCUAAAUUUGUUAAUUAAAUUGCGGGUAUAUUCUUUUUAGAUUGUUUUUUCCAGGUCUAUGCCAUUUUGAGAUAGAGUAUUAUUGACACAAUUCUCAAAUUAUAGACUUAUUGCAUUUUCUUGCUUUUUUCUAAGUGUUUGCCCUUUUGAGCUUUUCCUAGAUAAAAUCACGGAGCGGAGUCAUAGAGCAUCUGCUAGCAUUACUUCAUGUGACUGAUUAAGUAAAAUGUUAAUGCGGUCUCACCCAGCAGGAUUCAAAGCAUAGUAUUAACUCAGAGGGGAUGCAUGGAAAUACUCUGUGCUAGUUAUAUCUGUUAUCCCUGUCCUGGGGAAUGGACGUUAAGAGACUAUGUCAAAUAGGAGUAAGUUCAUGAAAAGUAACAUGAUGCUGAAGGGGCAUUCAAAACUUUCUAAUUUGGGAAAUAUGGAAGGAAUUAGAGAUGUUUAACCUGGAUAUGAGAUAAUUAAUUAAAAACUACUAUGGCCUUUAAAUAUUUGAGAGAAUGGCAUUUAGGAGAGUAAUUACAUGUGCCAAAAUGGGUACAACUUGAUCUAACAUAGACGUAACCAGGUUACAGAGUUUUGGGCUCAGCAUAAGGAGAUACAUUUCUGCAGUCAGAAUUGUCCAAGAAUAACUGUGCCCUUAGGAAGUGGUUGUGUUCAGCCUUAAACUCAGCAGAAAUACUGUAAAGAGAAAUGGGGGCAGUCUUAAAAAAAUUACAGGAUGAAAUGACAAAUCGGAUCCUUUGAACCUAGAAACUUUGUGAAUUCUACUACAAAAUUUCAUUUAAAUGAGCAUGUAUGCAAAACAUAAAUUUUCCAUGCCUUGAUUCAAGAUUGUUAUUUUCAGCUGUAUAGGAAAAAAUGAUAUUAUUUUAACAGGUGUAUUUGAAGUCCUUUAGGACCGUUCUGUAAGUAUUUUUGUAAACAACGUGGAGUAUAGAAUCUCUAAGGAGAGAAUGGUUCACUUCUUUGAAAAAUAGAAAUGAACUAACAAAUGACUUCUGGUUUGAUAAGUGGCUUAUUAGCGACAGGGUAGUAAAAGCCAGAACAGAAUCCACACUAUAUAACCAGAGCAGUGGCACUUAUAGACAUUAAAAUUCUAUUGUUUUUCUAUACAAAAUUCAGAUUCUGUCCUAAUGAUAUGAGUAAAUUCACCUUGAAAUAAUAAUAAAUGCCUCAUGGUGACCCUGUGGGGUAAGAACUAUUACAAAUGACAAAGCUGGGGCUAUAAGAAAUGAAGUAGCUUGCCCAGUCAGUGUAGAGAACAUUUCUGGUUCGGAAAAUAACACUUUCGUCUGAUUUGGGGCAAAAAGAAAAUUUAUAUUUCCUGGCUUUGUUUGCAGUUAGAUAUGGACAUGUGGCAUGAAGUUCUAUUCUAGUCUCUGGAAGUUUGAGUACUUAUAUGGGACAGCAUGGGAAAUGCUGGCCAAUAAUAUCACUUUUUUUUCCUUUUACAUAGGCUUUUAAUCAUGCAAUUCUGCUAUCAUAGUCCUAGCUAAUUGAACAAGGGCUGACCUGACCCAGGAGAAGCCAUCUACAGAUUGCCCAGUGGUCCAUGAGGGAUCUGCGUAUAGAUUUCCGUCCAAUUAUAGUGCCAUAAGCUGGGAUGGUGUCUCAUCAACCCAAUGGGAUGCUCUUUCUCAGGACAAGGACUAAAACAAACAAACAAACGAACAAACAAAGAUACCAGCCCACAAGGGCAAACAAAUGGAGAAGAAACAGUAGACAAGAGAGAAAACACAAUUUUGGAAGAUGAAAAAUAAAUGGAGAAGUGACAACUGCUUUAGCAGAAGCUGAAACAUAAUUGCCUACAGAGUGGUGAGAAUAAGAAGCAAGGUAAAGAACUCUGCAGAUCUUCAAAAAAGCUGAGGACUUGCAGACCCCAAGUCGUCUGAAAAGUGCAUGGGGCUACUUCAGGGCAGACGGAUUGGCUGUAAGUUGUUCACAAAGCAGUUAGACUCUCUGAUCCCCAUCCCCUCAUGUUGAUUUUCUGGAUUCAGUGACACCAGGUAUAAUGGAGUAACCCGCCAAUGAGCCCAACCCAAAUUCUAAAGUCAACAUGCUCUACCUGUUAACACAGAACUUCCAGUCAGAUUUUUAGUGUGUUGUUUGUGAUUAUGAACAGAUAGCCAAGAACCACAUUUGAGGAAGUCCUCCAACAUAAAACUUGGAGAUCAAAAUGAAUAAAAAAGAAUCGAGCACAGAAAAAAGAAAGAAAACAGAUAAAAUAGAGAGUAUAAAAAAACUUUAAAACUACUGUUAAUCUCAAAGAAAAAACAAUUCAUCCACAAAACAAGAAGGACAAUUAGAGAACAGUAAAAGAUUCAUGGAAACUAUCAAAGAAAGAAAACAUGAAUAUACUCUGGAGGAAAACGACAUGUAGUCUGGAUUGAAAGAGCCUACCAAAUGCCCACCACAAUGAAUAAGAAAUAAAUAAAUCAAAACCCACAUCUAGAAAUAUCAGAACUUUAGAAUAUCAGGGCCAAAAAGAAGACCCUAGGAGCUUCUCAAGUAGGGUAGGGUGGGCAUGAAAUAGUGCAUAUACAUAAAAAUGAAAACACAAAAUGCCAGAAGAAAUUGAAGUCCUCAGUCCUAAAACUGUAAGGAACUGAAUGCUUCCAAUAACCUGUGUGAGCUCAGAAGUCAAUACUUCCCCAGUUGAGCCUCAGAGAAGACUGAAACCUUAGAAGACAUUUUGAUUACUGCUUUGAUUGCAGACUCAUGACCCACAGAAACUAAAUUAUUUUAAGCUGAUACCUUUAUGGUAAUAUUGUAUUACCAUACAAUAGAUAACAAAUAUACCUGGCAAUAUUACUCAAUUGUAAGGGUAGAAUGAAAAUAUUUUCCGACAUGUUAGACCUAAAGAAUCUUGGCUGAAAUUCAACUUUCCAGAGCUCUAUGUCUGCCAAAAAUAGAUGGCAUUCAAGAGAAUCUAAGGCAUGAAAGAGUAAUGAAUGACAAAAACAGACAAAAAAUUGGGCUUGCAUGUGGUAAUUAUGGUGGGAGUAUUUUGUUGUGAGCAAUAUUGGACAUCUGAAGAAGAAGAACCAUACAAUCUAGUUUUUGGUAACAUCAUGCAAUCCAGAGCACUGUACUUUGCAAAUAGUACACAAAUAAAUAGGUGGGUGAGAAAGUUAGUGAAAUAGAAGUAUAAGAAACUCAAAGUACCCUGGUGCAAAUAGCAUUUGUGGUCAGAUUUGUUCAUAUAACUAACACUAUCAUAAGUAAUGGUAUCUUCAGCUGCCAAGAAGGGCGUGUGGGUAUUUAUAUAAAUUUCACUUACCCCACUGCUACCCCAAUUCCCAAAGGGACUAGGAAUGCUUUUUUGUACAAUAUGAAUUAGGUGAUAUAUUCUCCUUCCCUUAUAUAGAGGUUUUAACACUAACUCCACUCUAACUACAGUUCUUUCCCUCCUUAGGGCCUUCUCACUUACUGUGCCCUUGGUUUUUGAGCAGAUAUUUGCGUGGUUUAUGCCAUCACAUCACUCAGCUUGGCUUAAGUAUCACACCUCGGGAAGCUUUUCCCUGUUGUGGUGCCUCAAGUACUAGUCCCUUGCCCUGAUUUAUUUUUCUUUAAAGUGCUUAUCAUUAUUUAUUAAUUUACACACCUCCCCCAAACAGAUUGUAAGCUCUUUGAAAGAUAGAUGUUUUUAUUCAUUUUUCUAUCCCAAGACCCAUAUAGGUGGCGAACAAUUAAUAUUUAAGUGAAUGAAUUAAAUUUCAAAGCCAAAUUUUCACAUUUCUUCAACUGAAGAAUGAGAUAUAAUAAGACAAUAAUCUAAACUGGGUUUCAUUCUAUACUAUUUAAAGAUUUUCUAAAUGUGCACAUUUUCUACAAAGAAUUAAAUGCAAGAAAGUUAUAGACAGAUCCAUUUCUAAGGAAAUUCAAGGUAAUUAGAAUAGACUACAUACUUUGUAUUCUCUCCACAAUUACAAAUUUAUAUCAUUGUAACAGCAAAUACACUGGCCCAACUGUGUCUUUUCUUAAUAGUCAUGAAACAUGAAGAUAAAGGCAGGGGUAAAGAUUGGUAGUAUGUUAUUUGGUUUUUGAGAUUCUGGGCAUUAUUGACUCUAAAAGCGAUGUUUUCCUUAAUGUAUUGGAACUUUAGGCAGAAUGGAAGAGAGCAUUUACCCCUUUCUGACCAUCACACUUAGCCGAAACAAAAGCAUUGCACAGUUGAGAAAAAGAAAAUCCCAAGGCCCCCAGCUGACAGAACGGACCAUCAUCCUGGCCAAGAGAACCACAGAGAAACCAUGGAAACUGAGUUACUGGCCAUGAUGGGAUGCAAGAUCAAGCAUGCCUUGCUACAUCCCCUUCUUUGCUAAGUGCCAUUAGGCUUUCUUCUCUAACAGAAACCAGCCCUUUUGAAAGACUCUUUCCACUCCUGAUAUCAACCAACCACCUGAGGCUGCCCCUUCCUUUUGCAGUUUCCCACAAGUGACCAGCAUUCCUUUCGGAUAAGAGACUACUGAGCAUGCAGCGGUUCUGGCCAGUAGAUGGAGGAUGUGCACUGAGUGCCUUCAUGUCCUCAGUCAUGAUGUCAGAGGGCUGAAAACUUCACCUUCAGUUCCAUGGGGAAGAUGAAGCACAAUUGCAUAUAGGCAUGUUUCUCCUUUUACAAAUAUUCAUGACUCCUUCUAUAUAUUAAUAUGCAUACUCACCCACCCCAUUCAGCAUCAAUUCCUGUUCCCUUUGCACCCCUCUCAAAGUGUAUGUUUUCAGUUUUUGCCUGGAGUUAAGCUUCCUAACCUGUCAGAAAGGUUACCUGCAGGCUGCAACCUUUUAUGAGAAAUAAAACUCUCCAAAUUUA